ACUUCUCUCUUCAGUCAAAUCAAGUGGAUGAUGGAUGACCCACUUCUUCAGAUGAUCUAUAUUAGUACUAGCGUGCUCCAAACACCAAUAUCUGUCCACAGUCGCAGCAAUUUCAGUUUCAUUCUGAAAAUUUAAUUAGUUUUUUAUAACAAAAAAAAUACUAUGCGCCAAUACUGCUUUGCCGUACUUUAAAUGGAAACGAAUUGACUAAAAGAAUAGAAUUUGAGGAGGGUGCCUACCAAACCGUAUUUUCCAUGGUGCCUGAUGUCAAUCAUUUAAUUCCAAAAACAUUGCUUGCAUAGCAUAUUGAUUUAACCUACUUCUCUAACGACAAAGCUAAAUAUAGUCUUUAGGUUAUAAAUUGAUCAACGUUUUGCAGUCUAGUAUAACCGUCACUACCUUUCAUACUCGAGGUCACGGACUAAAUGUUCCGGCAGCUCUAGUAGAACUAAGUUUGAUUCACUAUAACUCCUGCUAUAAACAAGUUGAGUUUCCAUAGAGCUGUGUGACGCUGUAUUUCUUGGGUAACUAGUCCAAGAUCUGUUGUAUCAAAUUCUUACAAAAUAUUUUUUAAAAUUUAAAUAUUUUAUUUCUUAAAGCGCUGGUCUUUCUUUAUCAGCCAUGAAAGAGCUAGCUAUUUUGAAGCAGAAGCUUGAAAAGAUCCUGGUUAAUUACCCCAAGUUAUUCUUGCACCUCAUAAAUAACCUGCAAUUAAAAUAUGAAUUGUCUAUGUUUUCAAAGUGCUUGGCUACAUUUUUUAUUCAAAAAAACUUGCAUCAAGUUUGGUUGUACUGUUUCAACGAGUGUAUUAAAAAAGCAGUUUUCCCGACCGACGUUCUAUCAAGAGAAUCCAUACUCUUCUGCGUGCUUGCAGAUGUUUUAAAUUUUUUGAAUAUUCAUGAUAUGAACUACAGCACCAUCUAUAGAAAAGUCGAAUUAUCAGAUUUGCAAGGUCUUCCAGACGAUUUGAAGUCUAAGCUCAAUAUUGAGCUAGAAUUAAACGAACCAAGCACGAGAGGCACUUUUGCGGUUAUAAUCAACAGAGUUUGUAACUCAUUACGGUUUUCUCGUCGAUUGAGCCUUAUUUUCAGAAAGUGGUCAAAAAUGUUACAGACAAAGUUUAAUCUCGAUGCAACGCAUAAAAUUAUUUCUCAUUUCGUCUCCGAUUUCUUGUUAAUACCACCCUUGCUGAUGCCUAGUAUUUGGAGCUUGAAGCGAGAUAUCCCACUGAAAACUGGAGAAAUAUUGUUUUUAAAAAAGGUCCUUUUACACCUUUCUGAUCAAGUUCCAUUCAAAAAACCGGAGCACUUGGAAUAUAAUUGCCUAAUCGAUGCAUUUCAGAUACCUUUUCGAAUGUUCAUCAUCAGCCUCUGCACUAUGAAGCUUCAAGUGGUUACCACCCUGAAUUUGAGAGGCGCCAAAAAUUCGAGCGAAAGUCUCUUGACACCUAAUGCCGAAUUCAACGCAGAAAAUGGCAAAACUAAUCGAUCAUCAACCUUGAUUGGAACAGAACCUGAUAUUCGUCGUAUCGUCAAUACCGUCACAAUUAAUUAUGAGCUUCAUUUAUCAUUUGAAUAUGUAAUAUACUACUUGCUCGAAAUAAGGCCGUUAAUCUAUCAGUACUGCCUUUCGUUAAAAAACGUUCCGUUGUCUCGCUCUAAAUUUUUCUGGAACUUGUUGAAUGUUUUAGAAAAGAUAGAUGCGAUACUUAGCCCGAACUUGGAAAUGGCGUAUCGAAGUUUGAACAAUGUUCGACUUCUUGUCAACAGCAAAAAUAACUCAAAUAAUAUUAUGCGUCUUUUUAUUCCGCCUGAAUUAACUUACAGAGUGAGUGAAAAAGAAAUCAAGUCCAUUAAAUUUGGCAAAAUUGGUAGUGAUACUUUUAAACACCCUCGUUGUUUAAAUAAGUCCGUUUCUGGAUCUCAGCUCUCUAUCCCUCAAUUAAGUCAAUUUAAAUAUCAACUCGAAACGUUUCACAGGCCUCCUUCUAUUGAACAAAAAGAAAAAGGUUAUUUUUCGGUGGUUGGAAACAGAGAUUCGUUCUCUAAUGAAUCAGAUAAUAGCAUUUCGACGUCUCAGAAUCUUUCGAACGAUUUACUAUUGUUGCAAAGCACAUCUAACCCCGCAGAAUUGGAAGAUCCUUAUUUGUUGAAAAAUGUGGCUACCACUGCUGAAUUAGCUCAUGUUAAACAUAUACUUUCGAUAAUUCAGAAAACCGAGUAUGGAUUUAUGAACACGGACGAUGAAAAGCUUUGGAAACUCAGCAAGCAGCUCAAACAAGUAAAGCCAUCUGACAAAACAUCGAUCCUUACUUUACUUCAAGAGCAGAACGCUAUAUAUCGCAAAAAAGUGGGAGAUCUUACAGACAUGAAUGUGUACCUUCUGAACAAGCUCUCUUCCCUUGACCCACGGAUCCAAAAAAUAAAUUAUUUCACUGAGAGACUCACCAACUCUAUUCACUACCGUAUACAGAAAAACACGUACCUAAGACGUCUAUUCGCGUACAUGAAGGGCGCAUAUAGGUACAGCGUAGAUGAUAGUAUGCUGGGCUUGAAAAACCUCUACUACCAAGAUCGUAUCGUGCUCAUAUGGUCUUCUGUCCUAAAACGAUUAAAGAAAUAGUAGUGAUCUCUAGAAUAGGCUCGAAAAUUAGGAGACACCAACCUCAUCCCUUCCUAUCACUUAAUACCUGCAAUCAUUCUUCUAUACUGCUGACGUAAUUUGUAUAUUCGAUGUGACGGCUCUAGUACCAUCGUUUCUGCAACCAACAAAGCGGGAAGUCUUUCUACGCUCUUGCGUCACGCGCAAUUAUUAUGAAUAGCCGUAAAAUGUACAGACACGUAUUUGAAUAAGUAAUCGUAGGAUAUCGGAAUUCAAAUUCAUCGCGUUAACAUGAAUUUUUAUUCCAAUGAUGUAUCUUUUACGUUUUUCCUAUUUUAGAUAGUCUAGAUCUAAACUGUAUAUAUGAUGACGCCAUAAUGUAUAUAAACUAGCUUUGCCUGAUGUGCCAAUGCCCAUGGAUUGGAAAAAUCUAAGACAGCAAAUACCACUACGCCUUUGAAGUUUUCACGAUGGAGGACAAGUUCGAACAAAUCCCUCUGCUUUUGCAGAGUUUCAAUCGUCUCCAGUUGCCAAACACGGAUUAUAUAAAUAAAUCUGCCAUCCUUUAAAACUCUGAUUACAACAAACACCAAAGUUGGCCGACCGAUGAACCGCUUUCUGUUGCACACACAAAAGUGCUGAUCGCAGUCAAGAAAUGUGUCAAUCUGGUUUUUGGUACAGACGCAUCUAAAUUUGUUUAGGAAUUUUCAUGAUAACCCUGUCAUCCCGUCGGUGCAUCCGCGAAAUAGCACACCCCCUACACUGCUUGAAUCGAUUCAGGAAUAAUGUAUUCAAAUGGAAGUGUACUUGAAUUUUCAGAAUUGAUUUGUUCUUGUAGGCGCGUCAACACGGACGAUUUUCCGCUAUUGGCUUUUCCUGCAAAGAGAGAGUUGGCCGGUCUUUUCUCAAACAGUUGCUCUCAUCUGAUGAAAAAAAGUUUCUAUGCUAACCAA